AACGAACGCUGGCGGCAUGCCUAACACAUGCAAGUCGAACGAGACCUUCGGGUCUAGUGGCGCACGGGUGCGUAACGCGUGGGAACCUGCCCUUAGGUUCGGAAUAACUCCCCGAAAGGGGUGCUAAUACCGGAUAAUGUCUUCGGACCAAAGAUUUAUCGCCUUUGGAUGGGCCCGCGUUGGAUUAGCUAGUUGGUAGGGUAAAAGCCUACCAAGGCGACGAUCCAUAGCUGGUCUGAGAGGAUAAUCAGCGACACUGGGACUGUGACACGGCCCAGACUCCUACGGGAGGGCGCAGUGGGGAAUAUUGGACAAUGGGCGAAGGCCUGAUCCAGCAAUGCCGCGUGAGUGAUGAAGGCCUUAGGGUUGUAAAGCUCUUUUACCCGGGAUGAUAAUGACAGUACCGGAAGAAUAAGCACCGGCUAACUCCGUG
rnacentral:rRNA from 1 species